ACAGACCAUCUCAACAGCGGUCAUGUCUGGGCAGUGAGGAUGCUCUAGGACAUGUGGUUCCCAUGGGAUCAGGGAGUGCUUCUUGUGGGCUACUGUCCUUCUGGUCCCUGCCAGAGGCCAAGGCUGACAGGCACAGGAACAAUUCCUUCAAGGCCUGAUGGCCCAGAAAAUAAAGUUUGACUCCUUCCUUUGGCUGCGGGAGUGUCUUCGCCGCACACAGCAGCUGAGCUCAGUCAGGAAUGCUCAUUCAGGCUCCCUGCCUGUGGAUAACCUGGAAUCUAUCCUGGUCUCUCCAUGUUUGCUGUGUGAGCUGUGAGCCCUGAACAGGAAGCAGGGCAGAAGCCCCCUGCCUUUAGUUUCCUCUUAGCCUAUCUACAAUUCUUCCCUGCCUGGAAAGGGUGUUCGGAACAGGCCUCUCACCAUCUGCUUC
rnacentral:lncRNA from 1 species